rnacentral:rRNA from 1 species
GACGAACGCUGGCGGCGUGCUUAACACAUGCAAGUCGAACGGAAAGGCCCUGCUUUUGUGGGGUGCUCGAGUGGCGAACGGGUGAGUAACACGUGAGUAACCUGCCCUUGACUUUGGGAUAACUUCAGGAAACUGGGGCUAAUACCGGAUAGGAGCUCCUGCUGCAUGGUGGUGGUUGGAGAGUUUCGGCGGUUGGGGAUGGACUCGCGGCUUAUCAGCUUGUUGGUGGGGUAGUGGCUUACCAAGGCUUUGACGGGUAGCCGGCCUGGGAGGGUGACCGGCCACAUUGGGACUGAGAUACGGCCCAGACUCCUACGGGAGGCAGCAGUGGGGAAUAUUGCACAAUGGGCGGAAGCCUGAUGCAGCAACGCCGCGUGCGGGAUGACGGCCUUCGGGUUGUAAACCGCUUUCGCCUGUGACGAAGCGUGAGUGACGGUAAUGGGUAAAGAAGCACCGGCUAACUACGUG